rnacentral:lncRNA from 1 species
AAAUGACCCGAGAGAAUAGUUGUAAAAUAACAUCAGUGACUAAAAGGUGAAUAUGCAAAUCAAAUCAAAUAAUUAUCUUCCUAAUUCUCCCCCUUCCUUCUCAGAUUUAGACUGAUCGUAAAGAAUCUGCUGUUGCUUUUACUUUGCCUCUCAUGUAGUUUUGUAGAUGGACGGGUCUACAAAGGGUAGAUGUGACUGUUUAACCUGUUCUGUGUAUUGCAUUCAUGUUACUUUGUGUUUGUCUUCAGUUUAAUCUGCCUUAUCUCUGAGGAUGGGUGAUGGGUGAUGGUGGUGUGCCCCGGUGGGGCUGCCGGGCUGGUCUGACCCAGGGACGGGGGUGUCCCACCUAUCUCUCCCUUUUCUGGUCUCUGGCCUCCAUGUCAGAAGACAGCAGCUUACGGUUCUUGACGUUGUUUUGCCACUUCAAGGGACCAUUGUUAGAAUAAAGACCCUAAUUAUUUUAUUGUUGCUGCAUUGAUACUGAUCAUGUAUAAUCAAAUCAUCUCUAUAAUAUUAAAUUAAAUACUUGUGAGGAUGAUUUGCCCUAGAAUUUGGAAGCAAUAUCUUGAAAAGUUAAGUACGUGUAUAUUAUUAAAGCCAUGGAUAUGUAAAAUCAAGAUCAAGCUCUUAUUUUUCUAAGAAUGUAUGCUAUUAGUAAAGUACAGUUGAUGAUAAAGAUUCCCAUACUCUUAGUCUGUGUAUCUGCCUCAUGUACUUUAUCUGAUAAAUGUCAGCAAGCUGGAAUUCAAGGAGGUUUGGUCAGGUACAGAAAUCCAAAAAAGAAACUAAGGCAUAAGCCAGGGUAGGAGAAAUCCUCGUGAUUUUAAGAUUUUCAAUAUUUACCAUUGGAAAACCAGAGGCACUUAACUGUUUAGCUAUUUUUUUUCCCCUAACUUGAUAGAAUUAGUAAGUUUCAGUGAUAGGUAUGGAAAGAUUUUUCUCUGCCACUGCACUGAUAGGAUUGUUGGUUCAAGUUUGUACAUAUGAUAAAACUUUGACCUUGAGAUUCUAUGUUAGUUAGGUGGGUAUGUGAAAAUAAUGCUGUUGAAGUCAGCACUGAAUAUGAAAAUAGGUAGGAUUGCCAGGACGCUUCCACAGGGGUUUUGCAUGCUGGAGGAAUCUAAAGUUACUUUGGUAACAACUUUCAGAGUCUGUAGUUGCUUUUAAACAUACUGUCAUAUUGCAGCUAGUUACAUGAUUAUUACAGUUCAGAGGUUCUCAGCUAGGAGGUUAUUUGGGAGGUGUGUAGGUAUUUGUGAUUUUCAAAACAGUCAGAGGCACUGCCGGCAUUGAUUGUGCAGGCAUGGCCGUGGCCAUGAUAGAAGGGACAGACAAGGCCAUGGCCAUGGUAGAAGGGACAGACAAGGAUUAGUUGCCCAGUCCAAAAUGCAGUGGUCUUCUAUUGAGAGCCACUGCCAAAUUCUCAGUUCUUGUGUUUAACAUCCCUUGUUUUCAGUAUAAUGUAGUAAAAGAUUUAAUUUUUAAAGUAUCAUUUGAGAAGUCAGUGUCGGAUUUGCAAUGCUUUUCACGUAAAAUAUUUUAGAUAUAUAAUUGACAAUGUCGUGAGUUAAGAGAGAAAAAAAAUGAGACUCUGGUUUUUGGCAAUUGGGAUUAGAAGUGAUGGAGAGGAGGGUCCAAGCAUGCAUGUAUAUAAGUGAACUCUUAAAAAAAAAAAAAAAAAGAUGUUAUGAUCCUUUUCUCUGGAAAGAAAUGAUAAGCGGAUUCCUAUUAGGACAAGGAAGGAACAGAUAGUGCGGAAAGUCAGAGAGAAGCUUAUUAAUCAUUUAACAACCUGAAUUAUGUUGUAACUUUUUAUUAAGAGAAAGUCAGAUUCAUUGAGAAACAAAUGAAAGACUGAAACGUUCUGAAUACUUUAGUAUUUGAGUUCUUUGGGAUUAGAGGCCAUCGUAUCUCAGUUAUUUGUGCCUGUGAACCAGCAACUACAAAAGGGGAGGGAAAGGAAAGGAAGAAAAUGUUAAGUGAAGAGGAAAAAAGCAAGGAAAAGCAGAUGGAAAGGAAGAGGCAGCAUCUCCUUCGAUGACAGAAAAUGGCAGCUCCAGCCUUCCUUGUCCUUAGGAUAAAAAUCUUGGUGUCAUCCCUGACUUCCUCUUCUUUCAUACCUGAUAUCUCCGGUGGCAGCAAAUCUUGGGGGCUCUGUUUUAAAAAUAUAUCCGGGAUCUGAUUACUUCUCACAUCUCUUCUGUGCGGGCCAAGCCAGCAUCAUCUCUUGCCUAGAUUGGGGCAUUAGCCUCCUGAGAGAUCUGCCUGCCUCCACCCUCUUCCCUUACAGUCUCUUUUUAAACCUAAGUCACACGAGGUCGGCCACCUUGAGCCUCCCAACGGCUUUCUAUCCCUGGAUGGAAAAGCUCCAGCCAUUCUGGUGAGCAGUGCUUACCUUGCUAAACCCAUACUUUAUCUGCCUUCCCUGCCUUUCUGAAUCCCCUCCUCCACUUUCCCUGUCUGCAUCCUUGCCCUCCCUGAAACACCUGGGCAUGGGCAUGCUGCCGAACGGGGUUUCUCACUUCAUGUUCCCAUACCGUCCUGGCCCAUAGCUCUCCUUCCGGCUUUUAUGCAGAUGUCCUUUUCUUACAGUGGCCUUUUCUGACCAUACUUACUCUUGGUUUCACAGGCAUAGAGACAGAGAUGGUAAUUCCUACCUCCUUCUCCCUACCAUCUCUUCAUUUUUCCCUAAAGCACUUUCAUUAUCUCAUCUACUGCACAUUUUACUGAUUUUUUUUGUUGUUGUUGUUGCGGGUCUGCGGGUCCCUUUCCCCAGAGGCAGGGAUUUUCUGCUUACUGCUGAAAACAGUGGUUGACACAAAGAUAGUAGGAGUUAUGGUGAGAUGGGAGUAAAAGUUGGUGAAGUGUGGUUAAGAAGCAAUAGCAGAAGGGCACCUGGGUGGCUCAGUCGGUUAAGCAUCCAACUCUUGAUAUCAGGUCGUGUCGUGAUCUCAUCGUUCAUGAGAUUGAGCCCCAAGUUGUGCUCUGUCCUUAUAGAACGGAGCCUGCUUGGGAUUCUCCCCCCCNCCCCCCCCCCCCCCCCCCAGAAUAAACAGGUAAACAAUUUUUUUAAGAAGAAGCACUAAUAGAAACCAGUUAUGAGACUCAGUUAUGGCUGAGUUAUCCAACCUCCUUGAACUUGUUUGUUGAGGGUGCUAGUACUUAUCUUUGUAAAAAUCAGCUGGACUGAUUUACGUGACCAUAGCACAGUGCCUGCUGGUCUUGGGAGGAGCAUCAUAAGUGAUAGUUACGAUGAUGAUACCGAAGAUUCUCAUGGGAAGGACAAGACCAUCUGAAGGGAAUGGUAAAGCAUCAUAGCUCUUUCCAAAAGAUCUUUCAUUACAGUACUGGCAUUUACUGCAUUUUUUUUUUUUUUUUUUGGUUCCUUAAAGAGAGCUCCCUAUGGCCGAUGUUACUAAAUCCAUCCAUAAAAGCUUCGUAAGAGGGCAGGUGAAACCACUGAUAUUUUAUUCACUUCUGGGUGCCAGGGUGUCCCUCAUGGCCCUCCUAGUGGACUGUGUGGCAUUCAGUAGGCAUUGGUGACAGAGGGGGUUGAGGGACGCACACCUUGGGCCACUAACCUCAUCACUGUUUGACACCCAAAUACACUUUGAACUUUAUAAUGAUUCCAAGUCUCAUAGAAAAGGAUCGAUUAUGUUCAAUGGGAGAUGUAUACUACAGAAAGACAUGGUAAAUAUAUAUGAGAAAGAUGCUCGAUAUUAAAAUUUAAAGGAAUGGACCUCAUGGGCUAAGCUCCAGUUACCUGAAAUCAUAUUCUCUGAGUAUUUCCUCAUUAAGAGUUUGUAUUGGUUGGGCUAGCACUGAGCUCUCUAACAAGAUGCAAGUUACAGAAUACAUUUCCCUGUGCCAUUUGUGAAUAAAAACUAGUUCAGAUGACCAGGCCCUAACUUAAAUACAGUACCUUUGAUUAUUAAAGCUGAUCAAGGUGAGUGUGGUGAAGUAGCUCAAGGGGAAAUAAAAACCCAAAAUCUUCAUAUUAAUGAACUGGGACAAAAUGUCAAAGCGCUGUUUUUUAUGAUAGCGGGCAGGCAGCAUAUUUUGAGAUGAAAAAUGUCCCACGUUCCUUGGUUUAUUAACAAUUAGAACAUAAAGUUCUACAAUGUGAGUGGAGUCUUGUGGAUCUAGGAAGGAAGGAUAAUUUAUUAAAGCAAGUUCAUGAAAAAAUAGGCCUAUGACUGAUGGUAUGUGUGCCUGUACCUGCCAGAAACAUUUAGAACGUUUCUGUAGAAGUGCUACUUAAAGCAGCACGACUCUCAUUUAUUGUGAGUGACUUCCAGUGCCUCCUAGGAUGUACGUGGCAGAAAGGACUGUCUUCGUAGAUCGUCAUUUAGAAGCAAGUAUGUCACAUGCAUUUACAAGAAAUGAUUUUGUCGUAUCGUUUUAGUGUACUGUGAAUAUACGAAUAAAGAUUGUAAAGGAAUAUUGCAGUUCUUUCCAAACAGUUUUUAUGAAAACAUUUGUAUUUUACUACACGGUUUUUGUUUUAUUCCUCAAAGAGAACUCCCCAUGGAAAUGUUAGUAAAUUCACCUCUGUACUUCAGGAACUUGAAAAACUAAAUAAUGUAAAGGGUCUAAUUGUGUUUGCAUUCAACACAGUAUUGAUAUAAGUAAAAGAAAAACAUUUACAUUGCAUAAUAAAUUACUCAGCAGUGCUUUGUGUUUCUAUUAACAGAGCUAAUCUGUUUCUUCUUAGGAAUGAUGCAAUUUCACAGCAAAAAUUUGAUGUCAUUCUAAUGAGUCUGCUUUCAAUUGUAGAGUACAAUGAGGGCCUAGUAAAGAUUAGUAAGAAAUCUAUUUUAUUGUAGAUAAUAAAUCUGCAAAGUAAGCUCUCAGCAUAGAUUGAAGUUGACCUGGCAUGGAGUUGCUUUAUGAAUAGCCCUUUGAGCAAACUCUACAGUUCUGUAUGUGGUUUGAAAUCACUGUAAAUGUGUAGGCAGGUACAUAUUACAAUUGUCUGUUUUUCUUUUUAGGGCUCAUGUAAUCAAAGAAGUUUCUUUGUUGUGUGUAACUUUUCAGAACACAACAGGAAUUGAAAAUGAAUCAGGUGAGUUUAAAAAUAAGAAUUUAUACAAAUACAUUACCUAGAUGCUAGACCAGUUCUUGAUUUUUGAAGGAUCAAAACACACACAUUCAUUUUCCCCUGAUUUUCUUUUCUGUUUCUUCGCACCAUUAACUAGCUCAUUGCUUUCAUAGUGUGCAUUUGUUUGUGGAGUGGCCUGUGCUCUGUUUGGGCGUGGCUUGGCCUUUCUGAGGAAGCCUGCUCAGGGGACAGAGUCUUUGAGACCUUAGUUCAGACUUUCUGUUUUUACCUUUCCCCUGCCACGUUGUAGUGUUCAUUUUUUGGUUUUGUUUUGAAGCUUAUUAAGCUUUCAUUUUUAAUAUUUUUUUUAUUUUGUAAAUUAUCCAUUGGUUGAAAAGGGAAGAUUGAAAUUUAUUUUUAGAAGCUGAAACUGAUCAAGUGGGAGACUUUAUAAGCACUCUGUCCUUGAAAACCCUGUUAAUAGAAUACAAACGAGAAGGCAGAUAUUGAAAUGUAAGAUGUGUUUCUUAGUGGAAGAGGGUGUGGAGCUACCUGGGGAUUAAACAGUUCUGCUGUGGAGAUUUCUGGAGCCUCAGGGCUGUUCUGAUAAGUAAAACCAGUUAUAUGGACUUAAUGUAUUCUAAACGAGGAUUCUUAUUUUCUGGUUUAUUAUCAUUUUACUUGUAGUUAACAGAAAUUCAUGGGUGUUAGAGACACUCUCUUGAGAUCUUCAUAAACAUUUAAAAAAUAUGAAAGACAAACUUGAAAAUGUGAAGUCCAAUUAGUAGUGUUGAGCUUAAAACUACCAGACUUGAAAACAUUUUGUAUCCCUCACUAUCUGAGAUUUUGGACACCUUUUCAUCAUUCACAGGUGCUUCUAACUGGAGUCCCACUUUUAUUGGGGUGGACUGCAUUUAGUAAAGUUCAGUCCGGGUUGCAUUGAGAGAUGUGACUUUUUUGGAAUGGAUUCUUUUGAUUUUGUUUCAUUACUUUUCUUUAUCAAAAAUAUGUUUAUUUUAAUGCGGAGGACCAUACAUCAUAAAAAAUGAAUCUGGCGAACACAUGGGGCACAUGGUUCCUAUUAUUUUACAACUUGCAGAUUUACUGACAUGCUUUUGAAGCCAAAUUAGUUUUGAAAUGGUCAGAUGGGGGAGGGGAAAAGAGAACAGUGGAUUGCCCUAGUCAUUGUUCCUCAAAGUUAUGUGCACAUAUAUGUCCUAGAUUUCAUUUCUCUUUCUCUCUUAAGACUGGUUCUAUAUGUGAACUUGGUCACCCAAAGGAACUUGCUUUUCUCCUGCCUAGGAACUGUUGUUAGGAGUCUUGAUUCUGGAUUAGAACGAUUGCGAGUGCUUCCAUAGUGGAAUCCAAAUGUUGACAUUGCUUUUGUUGUAUUGCUAAUCAGCAGCCAGUUAUUUUCAGGUGGCUACAGCUUUACCGGUAGGCUUACUAACGCAUUAAUUCUUACACCAUAUUAGGCUACUAAUAUUUUCUUUCUAACGUGUUUCGACCUGUUGGACACCUCAUACUUUUCACUCUGUGGCUCCCCUUACAUCACACGACCUUGUGUGUGGAGAAAGUCCACAUGCCAUUCAGAAGAGUUGUAGCAAUAACCAUUUCUUUUUUGGCUCUUUUACAAUUUCAUUUUGUUUUUGACAAGUUUUCAUAUCAGAUCUGCAGAAGACUGCCUUUGAUGCCAAAUGCCAAAUAUCAGGGGAAAAGUGUCCUCUUAUGUUUCUAAUGGUUAGCACAUUUCUGAUUUGGAUGUAAUUUACGUGGUCUGGUAGUAAUGAAACUUUCAUUUGGAGUAUAAAAGUUGUCCACUUUUUAUGAGUAAAAUUUUCAGCAUCUUUAGUUAUAUUUUCAUUAUCUGAGGAAUAUCAGUUGUAUGAUAUUUAGACCUGAUUAUUAUGUCAUGGCAUAAAAUCUCUGAGUGUUUUUCAGCAGUUGUCUCAGUAAUUUUGAAUAGUUAAGGAUUGUUUCAGGACAUUUUAUCUUUUUCCCUCUUAUAUUUAUUUUCCCCUUUUCAGCCAGUGAAAAUGAGCAAUCAGUGCUUGAGAAACUUGGAAGUAACUACACAAAAAUUCGGAUAUUAAAGUUUUAACUUGAAUCAGAUUGAUUUUUUUUUUUUUUUAGUUUAUUUAUUUAAGCAAUCUCUGUACCCAGCGUGGGGCUCGAACUCGUGACCCUGAGAUCAAGAGCUGCAUGCUCCACCAACUGAGCCAGGCAGGCGCCCCUGAACCAGAUUGACUUUUAAUUAAAAUCUUAAUGGUGAUGUUACGCUGAGAUUAUUCCCUGUAGGUACCAAGCAGCUUUGCUUAGAUGAACUUUAGCAGUCAGAGCAAUCUCUUAUAGUGGGAAUGGUCUCAAAGAGAGUAGUACUGUAUCAUUUAUUCAUGUGUUUGCUGGUUGAGUUUUAGGGACUGAAGGAUCCUCUGAGUGAGCAGACCAUACUGUUUGUAAAUGAGUCCUUUAGAAGAAACAACAGACUCCAGAGUCUCACGGUAUAUUAAACACUAACUAUUGGAGCAACAUUCAGAACUGCUCAGUCUUACCAGUGUGUUCCAAGUCGUUUCUGGUGUGGUAGCUCACCAGGCUCUCUCUCUGACCCUAGCCCAGGGCUGCACAAAGCCUCCGGAUCCACAUGUUCUUUGUCCUUCUUUCUCUUCCAGUUUGUUCUCCAUUCAACACUUAGCCCUUCUCUUAUCUUCCCAACUCGGAACUCCACUCGUGUUGCCCGUGAGCCUUUGUUCCAACUCAGUCCAGGCUGGUUGGCAGACAAGAGGAGAGCCAUUCUGCUUCCCGACUUCCUUCUCCCAGUUUCUUUUCUCUCCCAUUUUAAAUCACAGGUGUCCUUUACUUCAUUAACAUUCUACACCCAUCCCAAUAUUUAACUUUUGAGAUGUUCCACUAUUUUCUUUCUUUUUUCCCCCGUAGAUUUAUCUAGGAGCAUCCAAAACUUUAAAAAUUACUUUCUCGUUGAAUAAAGAGUUUAGAAUGCUUUACUUUAUAGAAUAUCAAAGGUGAGCAAAGUUCCAUAAUGUGAAUAUGCUUAUAGUAGCUUAAAAUAGGUAUGCUAGAGUUUAAUACCACUUGCUGUCUACUGAGUGCUUAACCAACAGGCCAGGCACUCCAUUAAAUAUUGCAUAUGUACUUUCUCACUAAUUGAGUCUUUGCAUCCACUCUAUGAAGUGUAGGUAGUAUAACAAUUUUAUGGACGAAGGCAGUUAAAGCCCAGAGAGGUGGCCGUGGUUUGCCCAUGGCCACUCAAACAGUAAGUGAUUGAGCUCUGAUUCACACCGUCACUCGUCAAAUUCCAAAGCUAAGGUUCUAGGUCACCAUUUUAUACUGCCGUUAUUAGUCAGGAUAAGCUCUGUUAUGCUGUGCUAACAAAAAGCAGCUCCAAAAUCUCAGGGGCUUAAUACAACAUUUGUUUAUUUCUUGUUCUUGCUACACAUCCUGUGUGGAUCUGCCUUUGUAGUUGCUCAAGAACCAGAGAUGAUGAAGGCUUUGUCUCAAUAUACAUCACUUCUACUCACAUCUGAUUAGCCAAAGUUAGUCAUAUGGCCACAUCUGACUUAAAACUCUCGUAUUAGGGGCUGGCUGGGGGGCAGUGCAAUCCUGUGGGGAAGAGAGGAGAACUGUGGCAUCUUGGGUAUAGCCUCGGUGAUUUGUUUCCCCAGCUUUAUUGAGAUCUAAUUGACAUGGGGCAUUGUGUAAGUUUUAGCCCUAAUGAGGUAAUACAGCUGCCUUGAUUUCUGAUUUAUUGAAUCACACGUAGGUGGUUUUUUUUUUUUUUUUUUUGAAUCUUUGCGUAACUCAGGUUGUUACUGACACUUGAAACUUUCUGUCAACAAAGCAGCUUAUGAUUGCAGCAUUUCUACAUCCAGAUGAACGAUCUGCUAUUGCCAGUAGCAAAACAGUUUCAGCAGCUUAGCCUUCCAGACUUUAAAUAAAAGUUUUGUACAGUGAAAUAACAAAAGAAGCUUUUAAUCACUGGGUGCUGCAGAUCCAACCCUGAGCACUGGGAUAAGCAGUCCCCGGUUCCAUUCUCUUCUCUGUUCUGGGUGUUCACUUGCUCCCUCAUUCAUCCUGCCGUUGAUGGACUGGACGGCACCCCUGGGUGUUGUGGGUUCCACAGUGAACUAGAUAGGCCAGGGCUCUGCUCUGCUGCUUACCUACUCAGAGAGAGUUGAAAAGCGGAAGAUGAGACCAUUUUAGAUAGCGAAAAGUGCCGUGAGGACGGCGAAACAAGGCGGUGUGAUAAAGAGUGAUGAAUGGAGGCAGCGGAGAGUUUCUUCGGAUUACAUGGUCAGAGAAGGCUGCUCUGAAGAGGUGACUAACGGUUAAAACAGACUCAAGUGGUAGCCAAGAACCAGGUAUGUGAAGAUCCAGGGAGAGAAAAUUCUAGGUAGAGCGAUGAGUAGUGAGUGCAAAGGCUCUGAGGUGGGAAUGAGCUUGCUGGUUCAAACACAGAACAGGCCAGGGCCUGGAGCUUGGCAGGCAUCAGGGGGGCUCUGAGGCAAGAUGGAGUUGGGGAGAGGCUGGGGUCAGAUUUAUAGAGCCUUAAGGGCCAUAGGAAGAAGCUUAUGUUUUACUCUAAGUGCAGUGGGAAGCGACUGGACAGUGACAUGAUCUGGUUUCCGUUUUUUAGAGUAGCACCUUUAUCUUUAUUUAUUUUUUUUUUUUAAUUUUAUUUUUUUCAACGUUUUUAUUUAUUUUUGGGACAGAGAGAGACAGAGCAUGAACGGGGGAGGGGCAGAGAGAGAGGGAGACACAGAAUCGAAACAGGCUCCAGGCUCCGAGCCAUCCGCCCAGAGCCUGACGCGGGGCUCGAACUCACGGACCGCGAGAUCGUGACCUGGCUGAAGUCGGACGCUUAACCGACUGCGCCACCCAGGCGCCCCAGCACCUUUAUCUUUAUUGGGCAAGAGUAUAGUAAUAUGUUUGUUCACUAUUGAGAUUAAUGCCAUAGUUGAAGAUAGUUUCUUCAGGCGGACAAUUUAAAGGGCCUGCCAGCUUUUUGAAAGAGGGUACUUUUUUGGUGUGUUUUAGAACUCUUUGGCUACUGUUGUUUUCCAGAGACCGUGUAAAGGUUGUUUUGUUUGGUGUCCGCAUCUCUUUAUUGUUAUUGCGGUCGUAUUCUUCUGCUCAUUCCUUAACCAAACACGAUUUAAUGCUGUUUCAGUAAACUGAAGCUUGUUUCAUCCUCUCUCCCCCUCACUGUUUGCUCCCAGAAUAGUAGCUAAGAGUCUUGUUUGCAAGUUUAAACAAAGAAGACUUGUUCAUAGAAUUUGAAAUAUUAGCGCUCUAAUUCUUGGAUGUCUUUUGCUGGUGACAACAAUGAACUGUGGUGCUUAUCAUUAGUCUGUUGUAGAAUAGCAUGUAUCUUAGUGUGAUAUACUAUGACACAUUCUCGAUGUCAAGUCAUGUUCAUGUUUAGUCUAAACUCUUCUGUCAGACACUGCUGUUGCUCUCCAGUGUUGAUGUUUACGUUGAUGUUUAAGGGGCGCUUGGGUGGCUCACUCAGUUGAACAUCCGACUUUGCCUCAGGUCACGAUCUCAUGGUUUGUGGUUCGAGCCCCAUGUCGGGCUCUGUGCUGACAGCUCAGAGCCUGGAGCCUGCUUGGGAUUCUGUGUCUCCCUCUCUCUCUGCCGCUCCUCUGCUCAUACUGUCUCUCUCUCUCAAAAAUAAAUAAACAUUAAAAUUUAAAAUAAAGUUCAUGUUUAAGAAACUAGGUGCUUUAAUUAAAUUGAUGAAAACGGGUAUGAUCAUUUAUGGUCGUUUUCUGGAUAGAGUAUGUAAAAAGAGUUUGAUACAAAUUUAUUUUAUUAAAAUUUUUUUUAAAUUUAUUUUUGAGAGAGAGAGAGAGAGACAGGGUAUGAGUGGGAGAGGGGCAGAGAGAGAGACAGGCAGACACAGAGUCUGAAGCAGGAUCCAGGCUCUGAGCUGUCGGCACAGAGCCCGAUGCAGGGCUCUAACCCAUGAACUGCGAGAUCAUGACCUGAGCCGAAGUCGGACGCUUAUCCAACUGAGCCACCCAGGUGCCCCUAGUUACUGACACAAAUUUAAAUGAGAUACCAGUAAAACAUGCUUAUUUUUAUAUUUUAAAAAAUGAAAACAUUAGUACAUAUUGUCUAUGUCAGAUCGUACUUGCAGCCUCCUGUAACAGCAGCCAAUGCCAAUGCCAUGCUAUAUAUAUAACGCCAUGUAGUGGAGUUACCUUCCUGAUCCCAGUGGAUGUGUAUCUAAGAGGUGGGGGCUGGCUAGGGAGCAGAGCAGGCUGGUUCUAGGGCACCUGUGUGCUUGGAGCAGAGCAGAUGAAGGAGGAGAGGUGUGGGCUCAGCUCUGUGGUCAUUGUAAAGAACAGAGUAGACUUUGCCUAAGGAGAUGGGAGACCGUCGGAGGGUUUUGAGCAGAGGAAUGCUUGAGUUGGGUAUGAAAAAAAUUUUGAUUAAAUAAUUUUUUUUACUACGUCAUCAGUAUUUUUAUCUUUGGUGUUCUGGGACCAUUACAGUUUCAUUUGGACAUGAUUUAAAGAGGACAGUGUAUAAUUCAUUUACUUAUUUUACUUUAAAAGCCCAACAUUGAGGUAUCAUUUGUGUGCAUUAAAUAUACUCAUUUGAGAGACGUCUGGGUGGCUCAGUUGGUUAAGCAACUGACUCUUAAUGUCAGCUCAGGCAGGUCAUGAUCUCACGGUUUGUGAGUUCAGGCCCCACAUUGGGCUCUGCAUUGGCAGUGCAGAGCCUGCUUGAGAUUCUCUUUCUCUCUCUCUGCUCUUCCCACACACUCUCAAAAUAAAUCAAUAAAGUUUAAAAAAAUUUAAUUUUCAUUUUUUAUAAUGUUUAUUUUUGAGAGAGAGAGGGAGAGAGAGCAAGAGCACAAGUGAACAGGUGUCAACAGGGGAGGGGCAGAGAGAGGGAGACGCAGAAUCCGAAGCAGGCUCCAGGCUCUGAGCUGUCAGCACAGAGCCCGACACGGGGCUCGAACUCACGGACCGUGAGAUCGUGACCUGGCUGAAGUCAGACGCUUAACCGACUGCGCCACCCAGGCGCCCCCCCUAAAAUUUUUUUUAAAUGUACCUGUUUGAAGUGCGCAAGUCUUAAGAUUGCCAGAUACCUGCACUCAGUUCUCUCAAGGUACAGAACUCUUCCAUUACCCCAAAAAUUCUUUCCUGCUGCUCUGCAGUUAGUGUCACUUCCCCACCCACCCAGUCCUUACCCCAGGCAGGCACUGAUUGCCUUUCUGUCCCUGUGGAUUGUUUUUUCCUGUUCUAGAAUUUCAUGUGAGUGGAAUUGUUAGUACUUGCCCUUUUGUAUUUGUCCCCCCUCCCNUUUUUUUUAAUGUUUAUUUAUUUACUUAGAGCAUGAGCAAGGGAGGGACAAAGAGAGAGGGAGAGAGAGAAUCCCAUAUAAGCUCUGCACUGUCAGUACAGGGCCUGAAGUGGGGCUCAAUCCUAUGAACUCUGAGAUCAUGACCUGAGCUGAAAUCAAGAGUCAGACACUCAACCGACUGAGCUACCCAGGCGCCCCUGUGUUUGUCUCCUUUUGAUCAGCGUGGUGAUUUUGAGAUUCAUCCAUGUUGUUAUAGGUGGUAGUUUAUUCCUUUCACAGAGGACGUUUUAUGGGGGGCAGCAGACCAUGUGACCCUUCAGAUACAUCUGUUCAUAGAUGUAUUUCCAAAGAUUUGGUAAAGCCUUGAAUGGCUUUCUAUCUUUGGUUUUAGGUUAUCUUCCCCACUUUUUUCCUAAUCCUGGGUAUAUAUGCAUAAUGAGGUAUAAAACAUUGAAACCACUUUUGCUGUUGUAGCAUAUUAUUAAUAUAGAAUUAGAUUUUUAUAAGUAAUUAUAAAUGCGAAUUUGAUUUUUCAGGCUUUUUAAAAAGAGACUUCCAAGUAAGGUGAUUCUUAUGUGUUAUGACUUAAACUUCGAUUAAUGAAUGUAUAGUUUAGAAAAUUAACAUGUUUAAUAAUGAUGGCACUUAAAUCUCAUUUUGAAUCAUGUAUUCUACUAGAUAAAUUGGCAGUUUUUAUAAGAUCUGGGACAUUGUCUUUGUGAAUGAAAAUAUUAGAUUAUUUCUGAAAUUUGAAAAAGAAUUAGCAACUUGGAUGACAUUUUUCUUAUAUAACUGUGGGAGGAACUCUGGCAAGAAGGUUUACAUUUUUUGUUAUUCUGAUAUUAAUGCUUUGGCAAAGAAAAAGGUUUUGCAGGAUUGUUUUGCUCUUCCUCAACUUUGCUGUGUGGUGACUCACUUUCACCCUCAGUCCUUCACAGGACUCCACAGGGAGUGGACUUUCGUCCUUCACAGCCACUCCAUCUGUGUGACCUUGGGCAAGUCACUUGACCUCUUGGUAUUUGCUUUCCUACCUGUUAAAUAGAGAUAAUAGUGGUGACCACCCCAUGUGGUUGUGGUCAAGAGUAAAUGAGUUAAUAAACGUCAAGGCCAGCGCCUGGCAUGUAGGAAACACUGUAGGUAUCAUCAUCACCAUUAUUUUCAGCUCGUAAGCAAGUGCUGAUUCUGCCCUGUAACAUACUUUUCUAAGCACUGUUAGUGCUUUGGUUCAGACCAAGUCAUUACUUUGGAUUUUCACAGAAACCCCCUCAUUGAGCACUGCUUGGCUGACGGUCUCUCUCUCUGUGGGACCAUUCUCUGUAUGUCUUGAGUACUGUAUUCAUACAACAUAAACCUGAGCAUAUAGGAAAUUAGAAAAGCAGGCAAUUAUCGUGAGUUGUUUGGAAUGUCUUCAUGGAUGAAUGGAUUUGAACUUGACCUGGAAGGAUAUAGAAGAUAUUGACUGGUCAGAAGAAUCGAGGGCCAGAGGAUCAGUGGUCUGGGGCCCUGUUGGCUAAAAGCCUGAUCUGUGAAAGACGCCAAGGAGUAGGAGGACCUCCAGAGAGUGGUGCCUGUAGGGACUAGGGAGGAACUUUGAGAGUAAUAUCGAGAUUUUUCUGUGAUUUCUUCCAGUAGAAUUUUUUUUUCUUUUUCUUUUCUUUUUCUUUUUUUUUUUUUUUUUUAAGGCUGUGGCUAGACCAAGCAAACUCCCACCUGACUUGAAAGGCUGUUGCUCCUUGAUUUGCUGCCUUGGAUGAAGGUGGUUUGAAAUUUGGCAGCUCAGUCUCAGCAGUAACAGACUCACUAGGAGGCAGCAGAACCCUCCUUCAGGGGCAUGUCAGGUUGAGAAGAGCUCUUAGGUCUAAUUUACUUUGCUUCUCUUCAACCUUGAGAGACUCUACAACCAGUAAAGUAACCACUGGUUUAUUUAGAAAGUUAAAAAAAAAAAAAAAGGAAUUCUGAACCGGAUGCUUUUAUAGGAUGAUUAAUCAAGAAGGCAGAGGGUUUAGAGAAGUUGAAUAGGGAACAGACUGGAAGCCAGAAGACCUUCUCAUCACGUCAUGUCACUCCCCUGCCCAAGACCUUCUAGUUGUGUCCCGCUGCUCUCUAAAUGAGCUCCAGUCUCUCUCUACCCUGACCUUCAAGGUUCUGCAGGUUCUGGCGGCAGCCGCCUCUGCUUUCUCCCUGGCUCGCUGUGACCUGGCCACGGUGGUCUCAUUUUAUUCCUGAACGUGCCAAGCCCUUUGUCCCCUUAGUACGUUUCCCUGGAAUGCUCGAUCCUUAACGAGUGGCCAUUCUCAUCUUUCAGGUCCAAGUGUCUGUGUGUGAUCUUCUCUAAGAUGUCCCCCCGCACGCAGCUGCCCUGACGAGGACAGUGCCCCCUCCUUAUCUGUUUAUCAUACUCUUUUUAAAAAAAAAAAAAAUUUUUUUUAAAGUCUUUAUUUAUUUUUGAAAGAGACAGACAGAGUGUGAGCAGGGAAGGAGUAGAGAGAGAGGGAGACACAGAAUCCGAAGCAGGCUCCAGGCCCUGAGCUGUCAGCACAGAGCCCAACGCGGGGCUCGAACUUACGAACCGUAAGAUCAUGACCUGAGCCGAAGUCGGAGCUCAACCGACUGAGCUGCCGAGGUGCCCCAUCACACUCUACUUCACUGGUCCCAGUGGAAUACCUGGUCAGGUGGGCAGAACCCAUCUGUCUUCGCCGCUGCUUUCCUCGGUAGCGCAGUGCUGGCACGCGGGGUGCUCGUCUGCCCUUCGCAGGAUGAGGGGAUUGCUGUGUUAUUUCAGGCUGAAGGGUGACUACAGCGGUGGGAAGUGGAGAAGGAUCAGAUACCACACAUACUGCAAGCUCACCAGCAGAUUCGACUGUUGACUUCUCCCCCUUCGUGGAACCUUUUCCCCAGCCUUUCUGACAUCAUGUUCUUGAUGCCCCUUCUGCCACGGUGACAUCGUGCCUGGUCUUACCUCCCACUCUUAGAUAGUGACAUCCUGAGGGCUUUGUCCUUGCUUGUCUCUCUUCUCUGAUCUCAUCCACUCCCCUGGACUCCAUGGCCAGUUGAGUCUGUACACCCUCACAGCCAUCUCUGUGCACACAGACCUCCUGCACUUGACUGCCAGGUACUUGUUUGUUGACAGCAACCACUGCUCGGGGCUCGGCAUCCUGUGCCAGGCGCCGGGUGCAGCAGUGAGUGAAACGGAACCUGCCCCCUGGGUCUGCAGCUUAAACCUGCCUCUGGGGGAGAGGCCAUUAAACCAGCCAGCCAGUAAGUGCUUACAAAGUGCAAAGUGCUGGGGGAGGUGGGGAGAGGUGGGGCGUGUGGUAAUGGAGCCUUAGGGGAAAUCCUGCUUGGUAGGACAGCAGGGACUGGCUUCCUUAGGGCAGGGCAGAGGCCCAGAGCCCUGCAGGCAAAAUGACACCCUCCUGCCUUGAUAGGUCUUGGCCCAACCAGGCUGGUGCUUAAAGUAAGGGGUAGGAACUCUCUUCUGCUUUUCUAUCUGACCCGGGCAGGAGCCCCGAAGGGGCAUGGACAAUAACUGGUUGCCUUUAAUUGCCUUUGAAGCUAUUUAUCCCAGGUUGUUCUGGUAUGCUUUGCUUGUUCUCCGUUAGCGAUUCAGAGUGAAACCCUUAAAACGGAACCCCCCCCCCCCCCCCCUUGCCUGUAGGGAACAGCCCCUCGAGUUGUAGUGGAGAAGUUGGGGAGGUAGGGUGCGAAUGUGCGGACCCCACCCUCCUUCCUCCUCUUGGUUUAGUUAGUCUCUCAGAAUCUCUCCUGAUCUCUGCUUCUCAGUCCUGAGAUGGGAGGUGCUGGAAGAGCAGAGGUGGUCUCUUUCGUGCAGCAAUCAUCAGGCUUUUGUUUAUGUGCAUUAGAUCUUUGGAUAUUUACCAUGUGAGAAAUUGAAGCAAUUUUUUUUUCUUUUUUGUGAAGUAAACUCUGCAGCCACUGUGGGGCUUGAACUCACGACCCCAAGAUCAAGAGCCCCAAGCUCUGCCGAAUGAGCAAGCUCUACCGAAUGCGCCCCUUGAAACAAAAAUUCUUUGAACAAUGUUGAGGGAGUAUAGCUUCACAGGAAGUAGCAGAAAUAGUACAGAGCCCUAUACUCUUCUUCACUCAGUUUUUCGCAGUGGUAACAUCUUACUUUAUUACAGUAUCAAAACCAGGAACUAGACCUAGUUCAGGAGUUGGUUAGACUACAGUCCUUACUCAUAGUUCAGAAAUUUUUAAAACAUGAGAUUAGACAAUCACACAUCCAUUAGCCAGUGGAAUGAUGACAUCAUCACUUGUCAUAAACCCUGAAAACCUCCCCUCUACAUGCCUGAGAAUGAAAAAGGCAGGUAACAUCCUAGGACUAUUGUUGAAAUAGCCCUGACCCUGUGGACCCCCCAAAGGUGGCCCUAAAUGACCGUGAGAUACCCCACUGGCUUGGUUGGAAUGUGCACUCUGGAGUCUGUCUGGACUUUAUCUUGGCUCUGCUACUUUAUUUUUCUUAUUUUUAUUUUAUUUUAUUUUAUUUUUUUUAUAUAUGAAAUUUAUUGUCAAAUUGGUUUCCAUACAACACCCAGUGCUCAUCCCAAAAGGUGCCCUCCUCAAUACCCAUCACCCACCCUCCCCUCCCUCCCACCCCCCUUAUUUUUAUUUUUUAUGUAUUUUUAAAAAUUUUAUUUUAGAGAAAGAGAGUGUAAGAGGGGGAGGGGCAGAGGGAGAGAGAGAGAAUUAAGCAGGUUCCACACGCAACUCAGAGCCUGAUGCAGGGCUCGAUCCCUUGACCCUGGGAUCAUGACCUGACAUCAGGAGUCCGACACUCAACCGACUGAGCCACUCAGGUGCCCCUUGGCUCUGCUACUUUAAAACCACGCAGCUUGGGAGAGUUACUUGACAGGGCAGCUCUGUGGCAUAGUAUUUGAGAACCCAGACCCUGAAGCCUGACUGUCUGGGUUUGAAUCCUGCCUCUGCCACUUACUAGCCAUAACUGUGGGCAGGUCUCAGUUUCAUCUGUAGAGUGAGGAUCAUGAAGGUGCCCACAGCCAGAGUGGCGGUGUAAAGAUUAAACGAGCUGGUUAAAAGAUUAAAAGAGCUUGCAAUAGCAUCCGAAUGGCGUCCUGAACAUCCAUCGGUGUUAGCUGUGAUUAUUGCGAGGUAAUGCAGGAAAAACAUUUAGCGCAGAGCUUGGUCCAGAGGAGGGAGUAAAAGUCAUACUCCUGAUGCUCCCCCACCAUCCAGCAUGGGAAGUCAUCGUGAGCCAAAGGAAAGGUAUUAGGUAUUAGGGGAAGGGAAAAAGCAGUUCUCUGAAAACUUUGUGAGCAGAGGGCCCGGAUCAGCUUUGUGAACCAUCGUACCUUCACUGCUCAGCGCAGGGCCAGCCUGGAGCGGGCUCUCAGGAAGUGUUUGUUAAUGACUGAGUGAUGGACUGAGUGAAGGAGAGCUGCUUGUGGCCACGAGUCGGGGAGGGGAAGGAAUACUGACUGCCUUCUUUUGAGUUUGAGUUAGGAAGUUGGAGACCUUGAUUUAAUGAGAUCAAUAACAAAGCUUAUUAAGUUAACUUAAAUUUAACACAUUAAAUUUAACAUAUGCUGUUCUAGAUCAGUUCACUGAUACAUGUUUGGAGCCUUUACUUCAUCAAGCGGUGAAAUAAACGAGCUCUUCUGUUUCCUGUUACGUAAUAGGAAAGUAGAGAAGUCCUUGUAACAUCCUCUGUGCUUACCACAGUGAUCGGUGUCCAGAAACCCUUGAAACAGGAACGUGCCUUUAUUCUGGGAUGGCAAGGAUGGGCGGUUGGCCACUCCAGAAGGGGGAGCAAGGGUCCUUCCUGGAGCCUGCAGUUUGGUCUCUGGUUGGUCACCUUCUAUUCCUCAUAUUCUGUGUAGUUCAGCAGGUGAUCCAUUUCUCCUAAGGUGUUACCCCUACCUACCUCUCCCGCGUCAGCUCCAGCUGCUUUUCCCUCACCUUCUCUGCUCUGGACUCGCUGGUCUUUUUGCCUGUCUGUUCUGUGAUCAUAUCAAGCUUAUUCUUGAGUCAGCAAGGGUCCUUGCUGAUUACCUGUCCUGGUGUGUUUGCCCCCCAUACUGUCACAUGGUACCCUUCUACUUCUUGAAGCUCUCUGUUUAAAAUAGCACCCUACCCAUCUCCGUCACUGUGUCCUCCUCUUGUGCCUAAUUUUUCUUCAGAGCAUCAGAAAGUACCAGGCAUUGUAUAUCCUUGGUUGAUUUUGUUGGUCUUCCUCCACAGAGUGACACAUUGUUAAGGCAAAGGAGGUGCUUAAAACAUUGCCUGGCCCGUAGAAGGGACUCAGAAAUUGAGUAGAUGCUGCAAUUUCUUUUAGAGAAAAAUUGAUGUGGGAAGUAGUCCCAGGAUCAAAUGGUGAUCUUCAGUGUAGGAACCAACAUGACCUUGUUUAGAGUAUAAUAUUACAUCUGAUACUCUGAGGAUGUUCAUAUAUAUAAAUAGAUGUGUAUAUGUAUGUUUGUGUGUAUAAAUGAGAUCCUAGUUUAUAUAUGGGUGGGGGAGAGAAAUUUUCUUUUAAGUAUUCUUUUGUUCUAAAGGUUUACUUGUAAAUUGCGUGCUAAGAAUUGAAAGCAUAUAUCACAUUUUCUAAAAAAGAAUUCUUAUGUUGACCUAGAAAUAUACCUACCUCACAUUCAAGAAAUUCAGGCACAUGGAAAAAAUGCUUUCCGAUAGAUGACCCAGCUGUUUUAUUUAUUUCUAGCCCUCCUUUUUCUAACAAAGUUAUAAGUUGGUUUACAAGAACUAUGUAUUCAUUCAAUUAUUUAAAUGACAACAAACAUGUUGUGUCCCCUGCUAAGCAUUGGGAACGCAACAUCGAAUAAGAUAGAUACCAUCUGGGGCACCUGGGUGGCUCAGUCGGUUGAGCGUCCGACUUCGGCUCAGGUCAUGAUCUCACGGUCCGUGAGUUCGAGCCCUGCGUCGGGCUCUGUGCUGACAGCUCAGAGCCUGGAGCCUAUUUCGGAUUCUGUGUCUCCCUCUCUCUCUGACCCUCCCCCAUUCAUGCUCUGUCUCUGUCUCAAAAAUAAAUAAAUGUUAAAAAAAAAAAAAGAUACCAUCUGUCUUCACUGUAGUUUAUCAGAGGAGGUACGUUAAACACAUAAUUUUACAACUAAUUAUUUAAAAUUGUGAUAAGAACUAUGAAGGUAAACUAAGGAAGGGAAGAGGCAGUUUCCAGCUGGAGCCAUCGCAGCUGGAAAGGUGAGAGCCAGGUCCUGGGGCUGCCAGGGUUGGCUUGGUGUGGUUGGAAGUCUGCAAAUUUUAGUUGAGUCUUGUAGUGUGAAGGCUACUAAAAUACAAAAAAAAGCUUUCCUCCACUAGGUAAAUGAGCCCAAAUUUACAAGCAGGGAGGGGUUCACCAAAAGCAGGUAAAUAAAUGCAUAGGAAUUUGUCUUUUCUUUUUUCUUGCGGCAGUUCUGCUGAGGUCCUUUCUGUUCACAGGUGUAUCAGAAAUGUUAACACACGUGGUCUCCAGAUUACACUCCAGUGACACAUUUCCCUUGGGAAUGACCAUUCCUGCCUGCUGUCACUGCCAUGGAAGUUGGGAGGUUUUAGGGCAGAGGUUCUCAGAUUCUGUUCCAGCAGAAUUUUUUUCUUUCUUUUUUUUUUUUUUCAGGUUUAUUGAGGUAUAAUUGAUGAAUUGUAAGAUAUAUGAAGUAUACAUAGUGGUAAUUUGAUAUAUGUGUAACCAUCUAGUUAAUUACCCCAUCCAUCAUCUCUCAUAUUUAUCCUUGUCCUUUUUUUUUUUUUUUUUUGGUGAGAACAUUUCUCUUAGCAGAUUUCAAUUCUAUAAUACAGUGCUAUCACCUAGAGUUAGCAUGUUUUACAUUAGAUCCUCAGACCUUAUCCAGCAGAAUCUUAACUGGAAAGAGCACAGUAGUUAUGAACAUGGGCUCAGGGUCAGACAGACAAAGGUUCAAAUCCUGGUCUUGAGCAACUUAGACCACUUCCCUAAGCCUCAAUUUCCUCCUUAAUGGGUGUGUUGGUGUGGGGGGUGGGGGUGAGGGGAUAGGGCAGGGGCGGUGCCAGAGGAAGCAAUGACAGUCCCUGCCCCUUGAGCUGUUUGGAGUAAAUGCCAUCAUGCACAGAAGACGGUUAGUACAUUGCCUUGUACUGAGGCCCUGAGGACUUUCUCAGGAAAUGCUAACUUAUUAGUAUUAUUGUCAUUGUGUCUGGAAGUACCAGUUUAGAGUAGCUGAUGCACUGUCUUUUCAAAGCUCCUAGGGAGGUUAAAUGGUGUCAGGUCCUUUUAAAUCUUAGGCUAGGGUCCUAUCUGAGGAAGGAGAAGAAAACUUCCUCACGCUGCUAAGUGGCCAUGUGCUGAUGGGACUCAGAGCCUUAGCUAAGUACUUCUUCAUGUUUGUCCAUGUUAUUAUUUGUCCAGUAAUCAUUAUGUAGCCUAGGGUGCCCACUGCCAGUUUAAUACCUGUUCCCCCUUUGGAAAAAAGAUUCCUGUUUCCAGAAUCACCAUUUAUAGAUUAAAGUUUUAAAAAUGGGGUACCAUAUUUAGAAGUGAGAAAUUUGUGUGCUGAAUUUAUGCACACUGUAGCUAAUUAAAAACACCAUCAGACCCAUUUUCGGGGGCAGUUUUGGCAUUCUUGUGUUUUGAAAGGCAUUUAACGUGUGCUUGGUAUUAUUGUCAGAACCAAGCUGUAGAUCCAGCAGGAUCACGGCGCUCGUGCUUCCGCAGUGCCGGCACUGUGAGCUUUUGCCCUGUUUGAGAAGGGAAUCUCCGUCCCUGGGGGCCCGCUUGUGCGCAUCCCGACUCGAAAAAGGCCAGAGAGUGGACCUUCAUAAUGAGCUGCUCCUUGCUGGCGGAUUUAUUUCUCUUAAAGCAGCCUAUUGAUACUUUAAACAAACAAACAAACAAACAAACACAGCACAGAAAACAUCAAAAAAAAUAAUGUUGGGAUUACACAAACGUGGAUGAUUUCUUGUCUUUGUACAAAACAUUUUUUUUUUUUUUUUUUAACGUUUAUUUAUUUUUGAGACAGAGAGAGACAGAGCAUGAACGGGGGGAGGGGCAGAGAGAGAGGGAGACACAGAAUCAGAAACAGGCUCCAGGCUCUGAGCCAUCAGCCCAGAGCCUGACGCGGGGCUCGAACUCACGGACCGCGAGAUCGUGACCUGGCUGAAGUCGGACGCUUAACCAACUGGCCACCCAGGCGCCCCUGUACAAAACAUUUUUAAAAGCUGUAAGAGCUUCAUUGUGGGGAAGUUAACUUCCUUAGGUUGGAGUUUGCUUUUUGCUUACUUUGGUAUCUUUGAAAAUCCUUGAGAAGUGUUUCCCUUUGCAGUGAAAUAAAAAACACCUAAGACUAAAGGACCCAUCAUUCUUAGUGGUGUUAUGAUAUGUACAUCGGUUCUUUGGGAGUAUGUGGGAUAACAGUCAAUACAAACUUGGCUUUCCUUUGAUUGAACGUUAUUUUCAAACUAACAGUCAUGUUUUACCAGUUGCCUCAGAUUUUUGCUUCCUCUUCCCUUAUAUAAUACAUACCUAAUAGUAAUGUUAUCUCUGAAGAUUAAAGUGAAUUUUGGUUAGUAAUUAUAUACAAUUCUCUAUUUCUUGGAGACUGUGAUAUUCUGGCAACUUUGCUGUUUAAUGUGACUUGAUAGAAGCGGUAAAUUACUGCUUCUGGGAAAGGUUGCAUUUCCAUUGAGGGCCCAGAAAAAGUUGUGGUGUUCUUGUCGGAAUAUUCAAGCCCCUGUUAAAGGGGGUGUUGCUGCCAGAAGGAUGAAAACAUAGGUGGGGUGGGGUCUGGCCGGCUGGCUGGGCCUUUGCAGUGUGUGCCAGAAGUAUUCAUUUAAAUAGGAGUGUUGAUUUUUAUUUUUUAAGCGUUCUAAAAUGCUGGUGGUAGCCUUUGACCGAAAAGGAAGCUGAAGCCGUAUUUUACUUCCAGAUUCUGUGGGAGUUGAAAACAGUGUGGUGCCAGAGAUUCACAUAGUUUGAAAGUGACUACAGGUGGCUGAACAAAACAGAUUAACACAGACAGACUUGAAGGUUGCAGUCGUUUCCUUUGGAGACUCACAACAGUGAAAGCAACUCCUGAAAUGCUCUGCAUCUCGCAUCUUGUAGUCUCCGUCUGGCUUGCCAGCUUCAGGUUGCAGUUACAGUUUUGCAUAUUUGCUUAUUGGACCAGAAAAAAGAAAAAAAACAACAAAAAACCCACCAACUGGGUUUGCUUCCCUCUGCUCUGAUCCUUCUGUUCCUUGACUUGCAGAACGCCACCGAGCCUGUCGCAGCUGCUGAGAGCCUGGCUGAGGUACCUGAACAUGUGCUUCGAGGACUUCCGGAGGAAGUGAGGCUUUUCCCAUCUGCUGUUGACAAGACUCGGAUUGGUGAGUACUAGGGUCCCCAGAGGGGACGGGGAGGAGAAGGGAGCAGCCUGUGUGGAGGUGGGGAGCUCAUCGUGAAAGCAACAGGUUUACACUUUGAUUUAGAACACUGUGUGGUGUUUCUGCAUUUUCCAGUGAAGAAUCCAGGGUGGACAUAGAUUAUAAAACUGAACCAGAAAUAUCUCCACGCCCACCACCUCCCGUCCUUCGUGAUUCAGCCCGCGUGUUCCCUUCCGCGUUUCCUCGGGGCUCUUCGUACUACAGAGCGUAUUCCUUCCUGUCUUGUUUCACUGGGACUUGAGUGUGAUUGUGCUGUUAUAUUUAAUUUCAUCCUUGUGUAUCGUCACAUCUGCCCUUGCAUUGAUUUGAGUGCCUUCAUUUCUCAUUUCUCUUUAUGUCUCCAGUACCUGACGCAUUAUGGACCUCAGCAGGUACUUGAACGAAUGAUGAUCCGAGUGUCUCUGAAUGCUUCUGGCUGGGAUUUCUCAUUGAAUACAAACCGAGCUUUUGUGUAUUUGGUUUUGCUUUUGUGACCUAAUCUUUAGACGGAAGGCUAAUAAGGAAGUAAAUCAUAAAAAUUUAGUCAAAGUACAUUUUUGGAAUCUAUCAUGUUUGUAUCCCUUUUCGUUUUUUUGUUUUUUUUUUUAAGAUGUAUUUUUGAUACUCCAGUUUAUGUGUAUAUGUGUGUGAAUAAAUUGUUAAUAAAUGCUUUUCCUAAUUCUCACUGAAAAAGUAUUCAGUAAGCAACUUGAGCGCUUACAUCAUUCACGUGAAAGUGGUUGAUUUUUAUAGCUCCACUAACUGAUCGUUAGCUCUCUUAUCAAACUGGAUUCGUAGACUUACAGAAGAGGGAAACUUGAACCUCCUAGCUGGGCAGGACUGGCUCAGUCUCCGCCUUCCUUCUGUGCCUGAGGAAACGGAGACCAGAAGAUGAGGGAACUUGUCCAAAGGGACGUUGUCAGGGAGCGUCACCUCUGGGUGCCGGUUCCCUUGGCCCCACCGCCACCUUCCGCCGUUUGGCCUGCUGCCUUCUUCGGCUCGUCUGUUUGCCUGUGGGUAGUGCACAGAAAAACAACAGCCUAGGAAUACCGUGGAGCAGCAAGAGCAGCAGGAACAGCAGCGGUAUGACUCUUGGCUGUUUGCAACUCUGAAGAGUGAGUUGUUACAGUAGCCAAGUUUUCAGGAGACCUAGCUGGAGAGGAAAGAGUGUUCCGUUUUGAGCGAACUUCAGAAAUACUUAUUCACAAAACUGUAUUUCUCAGCCUUUGUAAAAGCAAUUCAUGUUCAUUGGAGAUCAUUCCAAAUCUGCGGAAAAGUAGAAAGAGUUAAAAAUUAUUUAUAGUUUCUUUUUUUUUUUCUUUUUUUUAAAUUUUUUUUUUUUUUCAACGUUUAUUUAUUUUUGGGACAGAGAGAGACAGAGCAUGAACGGGGGAGGGGCAGAGAGAGAGGGAGACACAGAAUCGGAAACAGGCUCCAGGCUCUGAGCCAUCAGCCCAGAGCCNGACGCGGGGCUCGAACUCACGGACCGCGAGAUCGUGACCUGGCUGAAGUCGGACGCUCAACUGACUGCGCCACCCAGGCGCCCCGCAAAAAUUAUUUAUAGUUUCGGGGCGCCUGGCUGGCUCAGUUGGUGGAGCGUGUGGCUGUUGAUCUCGGGGUCAUGAGUUUGAGCCCUGUGUUGAGUGUAGAGAUUACUUAAAUAAAUAAAUACAUCUUAAAACAAAAACAUUCCCUCGAAAAAUUAUAGUUUCACCCCUCGUAUUUUUUCUCGUUAAGUUGUUAUUGUGCUGUUCUCUGGGUGUUUGUGAUUGUGCCAUCUGGGUAAUUUUACAUGUGAGAAAUAGAAACAAACAGAUAUAAAACAUUCUUUCCUGCUUAUAAAACAGUGUAGGUUCUUUACAGGCUAUUUGGGAAGUACAGAAGAAUACAAAGAAGAAAAAUAAAAAUCCUCCUGGAAGACUUGAUUUCAUUUAAUUUCACUUGCUCUCCAUUGAUUUAACAUUAUCUUGCUUUUAGACUGGCUAGCCUUUUAACUAUUUUGUGAAACAGAAUUGACUUUAAUGCUUUGAUCUUUAACCACAAUACUUUAUAAAAAUAUUGGUUUUAUUUUCUAGGUGUCUGGGCCACUAAACCAAUUUUAAAAGGCAAAAAGUUUGGGCCAUUUGUUGGUGAUAAGAAAAAAAGAUCUCAGGUUAAGAAUAAUGUGUACAUGUGGGAGGUAAGAAAGAAUUCUGGUUCUUUGUUUAUCAGCAUUCAGUACGUUUUUAAAGAAAUCAUUCUAUUCUCUCAGGAUUCGACAUUUGAAAUUAAAAUAGUUUGCUUACUACGUUCUUUAAAAUCAAAAAUGUUUUUAUUAAAGAGAAAAUGUGUCUCUUUGGAUACAGACCGCCGUUUACAUUUGUAUUUUGAAGCGGCUUGGGUGUCCUCAACGAUGAAUGUCAAAUCCAGUUUUUACAUUGCCUUGUUCAGGGUGUUUUGCUUUACAACCAAGACUUUGGUCUGUCCCUUUGCAGGCUUCCAAAUAGGUACCAUAAAAGAACACUCUGAGGUGACCACAAAUAAAACACUGUUAGGGUCUUCUCUGUGUUUUAGAAAAUAAUCUCUGUGUUGCUGGAAUAUUCAGAAUUGGAUAUAUUUGGCACAUGGCAUAUUUAUAGAGUGCUUCGGACUUCUCAGGAGGCUUUAAUUUUGUGCAUUUCCUAUUCUCACUAUGAUCCUGGAGGACAGAGUAGGGCAUUAGCACAUUCCUUACAGAGGUGAGGCCGUCAGGAACAGAGGUGAAUUGUUCCUCCCCGUGAGGACCCGUGUCCAGAGUGGUGUUGAUGCAGAGCUAGGACCCAUGUCUCCUGCCCGACAGUAAGACAUUUAAAAAUGUUUCAUUGGAUUACCUGGUUUCAGAUCCUACCUUUAUUUUAGCCUUGUGACUCUGGGUGUAGGGUACUUAACCUCUGGGCCCUAAAAUCCUCAAUUUAAAAACGGGGACAAGAAGAAAUCCCUCAUUAAGAUAGCUGUGCAGGUAAAUAGGUUGUUACUGCUUCCUGGAGCGUUGCAUGCAAAUUCAUCAUUCUUGUGGAAUUUUGUUCAGAUCAGGUGCUCUGGGGAAGCUCUCGUGGUCUGAUAGGAUCUCAGUGGUGUGUGACUCCCUUUGCAAAGCAAGUGAAGUUUUUCGGUGGUUAGGAAAAGCAUUCCUGUCAGAUUGUCUUAAAUGGAAUCACAUCUGUUUCACACGUAAACAUACACAGACCUAAAAACAAAAUAUGCCUAGGAAAUGUCUGGAUACUUUACAUCAAGAAGUUCUGUGACAUUUGUACAUCAGGUAUGUCGCUGCUGUUCUCAGUGUUCAGAGCGGUGUUUCUUAACUUGAAGAUUCCUCUGGUUUCUUCCAGUAAUUUUGAGGUUCUGUGUUUGUCGUGAGUCCCUUAUAAUAAAUCUGAUGACAGUUAACCAGAAGGGCCUUAGGAAAUGAGGAGUUAGCGUGAGAAUAAUCACAUUAUGCUAUUUCACUACUUUUGAGGUGAAAAGAGCGCUUAUAUUUGUAGAAAAACUGCCCAGCCAAAAAAUGAUAUUAAUUACUCAAGAUAAUGCCUGUAUGAUUAAAAAUGUCUGGACCACAAAAGUAUGCCCCCAGAUAAACUGCAUUUUUAAUUUUAGAAAUUUCCCAGGGAAGCUAACAGAUAUGUUCUACUGGGUCCACGCUAAUCUUAGUGAGGACAGUAUCUGGAAACCAGGAGAUGUGUUCUCUAGUUCCGUGUGUGUAUUGCUGAGCUUGAACAAAUGUCAUUGAUAUUACACCUAAGUUUAUUGUACCUAAUUUACCCCCCUUAACAGUUUGUUAUUGUUGGGCGUAGUAUAUAAAUCAUUAAUAGUGUCUUUUGUAAAUUAAGCUUCGUUUGUAUUGAAAUUCGUACGUAGUAUGAGUUCAUAGUAGCUUGGUGAAUAUCCUAAUUUGGAGCCAUGACAUAUUAGGGAUUCGAUUUCUACUUACAAACAUGUUAAGAUCGCAUUGUUAACUUAGGUACUUCUACUUCUAUACCACCACAGUUUGUGAGUCUUCUGACAUUGCCAGUUCUUGUUAUAUUUAAAACUUUAGUUCUUGUCAAGGCUGGCUUUUCCUUCUUGGAAUUAAAAACAACUGGAUGUCAUUCAGGUAGUUCCGACUACAAGGUACAUAGUAUUCCGUACAGAAACCUGCAAGCCUUUGCUCUGUUAAAAUAAAAGUAGAUACAUGUAUAUGUAGAGGCAUGCAUUCGGCAAAAUACAGGAAGCAGCAGUUAUAAUGUCCAUGUGUCUUGUAAAGAAGGUAAAACACCAAGUAAAAUUUAGUAUAUCCCCAGUGAUUUCUUCCAACCUUGGUCUGAUCCUCAGACUUGCAUCAGAAUGGCUUGUAUUCAAGUAAGAGAAACUGCUUAUCAUUAAAAUCUCAUCUUGGCAUUUGUUCUUCUAUUAAAGCCCCUUAAGACCUGCUUAUCUUUUAGCAGCCUCGUCUUUUGCCCCAGCUAGAACUCCAUUUUAAAGCUAACUAAGACCAAGUGUUAAGUUGCUUUUCUUGAGCGCUUGAUUGUCUCACAGAGUCUUACGUCCCCUAAGCUUUCGCUGAAAACAUUCUAGUAAAUCAGAAACAACAGAAGAGAAACAAUAAAGUGUCCUCAGGGUGAUGCCCCGAACAGUCAGGUUCUCCUAAGAGGAGAGCAGUUGUUCGAGCAGUUUCUGGUGGGGAACUGCUUGCUGGCAGCUGGAGUGCUGGACUUGGUGUGAUACUCCCGGGACUGCCCCCACCCGUGCUGACUGCCCCCACCCGUGCCGAGAGGUCUGCGGUGAUCUGCGCUUCUGACAAAAGCCUUUCAGAUUCGCUUUCGUGGGUCUCAGAUGGCUUCUGUUGCACUUGUGAGUUGUUUGCAUGUGAAUUGUUUUGAUGCGUUUUUUCCCCCCUAGAUUUUAUUUUUUUAGAGUAGUUUUAGGUUCAGAGCAAAUUAAGCAGAAAGUACGGAGUGUGCCUGCAUACCCCAUCCCCCCCUUCCUCCCACCAUCGCACCAGGGUGGUGCAUUGGGUAGACUUUCAGAGAGCCUGCACUUAUGACACAUCACUGUCACUUAAAGCUCAUAGUUUUCAUUAGGGUUCAUUCUUGGUGUACAUUCUGAUAAGUCUCUUUUAAAUUAUAAAAGUAAUACAUGCUCAUUGGAAAAUAACGUAAACAUUACAGAACACUAUAAACAAGAAAGUAAAAAUCAUCUGUGAAUCUUUUGGUGAACGUUCCAAGUCUGUGCUUCUCUGCCUGUUUUUCUUCUGUCUCUCACACAGGCUGGUGCAUAUACAAACACCAUAUAGAGAUGCUUCGUGCAACUGAGAUCAAAGCGCACAUGCAGUCUUGUGACGGGUUUUUCUCUUUCAGUUUGCUGUGGACGUGCCCAUGUCAAACAGUUUCAUCGGCAUCAUUAUGUCCUGUGGCCACAUAGAAUUCCAUUGCAUUCUUCCACUAUUCAACCAGUUGUCAUUUAAAUAGUUUUCAUCUCUUCAUGGUAUUAACAACUCUUCUGACUAUGAAACUCACCGUGUAUACAUGUGUGCUGACUUGUCUGGUUAUCUUCUUAAGAUAAAUUCCUGGAAGUAUAAAUGUUAAGUCAGAAGUUAUUUACAUUUUAGUCUCUGGUGAAUUUUGCUAACAGACCUCCAGAAGGAUUGCACUGAUUUGUAUACCCACCAAAAGUACCUAUUUUUUUCUAGCUUUUUAAAACCCAGUAUUGUUAAUCUUUUUAAUGGUCCCCUCCUCCGCCCCAUUCUUAUAAGUGAAAACUGAUAGUUCACUACUUCUGUUUGCAUGUUAUUCAUUUAGGCAAAUAACUUUUGAAUCGGGGAUGGUGGGAAGAUGUAGAAUUGUAUUUCAACUAAAAUUGAUGAAUUAUUGCUCUUCAGUGAGAAGACUUUAAUCAUUUGAGGAAGUGAAAAACGUUUUAUCCAUCUGCACUGUUCAGAUUAGACAUGAGCAAGUGCAUUCCCUAGUCUUGGCUAGCUCAACACUUCUUUUUUUUUUUUUUUUUAAUGUUUAUUUAUUUAUUUUGAGAGAGAGAGAGAAAGCUUGCACACGUCCAUGUGCACAGGGGAGAGGCAGAGAGAGGUCCCAAGCAGGCUCUGUCUGCACUGAGCGCAGAGCCCGGCACAGGGCUCUAUCUCACGAACCGUGAGAUCGUGACCUGAGACGAAGUCAAGAGUCUCACACUUAAACGACUGAGCCAGCCCUGGUGCCCCCUAGCUCAACACUUCGAAUUUCAGAUUAUUUCUAAGUUAAAAAUGGAGGCAAGAAGAAAAAAGAGCAGAGAAGUCAGCCAGCUGAUCCUGUAGAACCUUUUUCUAGAAAGUACUGCUCAGCUCUUCUUUCCAUCUUCCAAACCUGCACCAGAGGGGGGGUGCCAGAGGAAGAGACCUGGGUCCCAUGGAAAUCAACCUGCCACCUGUUGUUUACAGUCCCACAGCCAAGAGUGCUUUUUACAUUUGUAAGUGGUUUAAACAAAAAAUCAAAUGUUUCGUGACACAUAAAAAUCAUAUGAAACUCAGAUGUCCGCUCACAAAUCAAGAUUUAUUAGAACAUAGCUGCGUUCAUUUGUUUGUAUGUUAUCGAUGGCUGCUUUGGCCCUACGGUGGCAGAGUUGAGGAGUUUAGACAAGAGUCCGUGCAGCCUGCAAAGCUGAAAAUAUUUAUUGCUAGUUCUUUACAGAAAAAGUUAGCUGAGCCCUGGUCUCAGUGUGUAGAAAGGAGAAGCAAGUGGGGAUGAGUGUGGUGAUGACUGGUGUCUUAGGUUUACUGUGAAGCUAUGUGGUUGAUGGCAGUGAAAAGAUUUUUUUUUAAUUUUUUAAAUGUUUAUUCAUUUUUGAGAGAGACAGAGACAGAAUGCGAGUGCGUUAGGGGCAGAGAGGGAGGGAGACACAGAAUCCGAAGCAGGUUCCAGGCUCUGAGCUGUCAGCACAGAGCUCGACCGGGGACUUGAACUCAAGACACGAGGUCAUGACCUGAGCUGAAGUCGGACGCCCAACCGACUGAGCCACCCAGGCACCCCGGUAGUGAAAAGAUUUUGAACUUGGUAGUUACCAGUGGAGUAGCUGUACAGUUGGUGGUCGUAGAAGCUUCUAGGCCGAUCAUACUCUUUUCUGUGGAACUUUAGGGCAGAUGAGGGCAUUGCAAUACAGAGAAGUAAGUGAGCCUCCCAAAUAAGUUAACUUUUAUGCAGAUUGGCAGCUUGGUCUGGUGCGAAAAAAAAAAAGAGUCUCUGGGAGGGGCUUUAUUUUAGCCCCUAUUUGUUAAGCCUUUGGCAUGUGCUUUUACCAGUGUCCUGAGUUCUGGAGCACUGAGUCUGACAUACAAUAUUCGUGGUAUUGCAUAGAUUACUGGCAGUACCCAAUGGAGAUUUUUGUUUGUGGAAUAAUAGGGCACUGGAAAUGCCCUGAGUCUUUCGACAGGUGAGAAAUCUGUGUGAGGUGGCUUGCUUCAUGCCUUCAAGCUGCCAGUCCCAGAGUCUGGCCUCGCGUCCAGGCUUCCUGGUUGCCUGUUCUGUGCCCUUCCCGCUAGCAGAGCCCGGAGGUUCUUACUUUUUUUGUGGGUUGUGGGCCCUUUUGAAAAUUUCCGCAGAAAAUGUACAAGUGUGUGUAUGUACACAACAUUUUGCAUAUCAUAUAUAGGGUUAUAUGGGAUUCUUAAGCAUCUGUAGUCCAGAGUUGGAAUUUCUAAUUUAUUUGUUUGUUUUUAAAAAAUUGUUUAUUUAAAAAAAAAUUUUUUUUUUCAACGUUUAUUUAUUUUUGGGACAGAGAGAGACAGAGCAUGAACGGGCGAGGGGCAGAGAGAGAGGGAGACACAGAAUCGGAAACAGGCUCCAGGCUCUGAGCCAUCAGCCCAGAGCCCGACGCGGGGCUCGAACUCACGGACUGCGAGAUUGUGACCUGGCUGAAGUCGGACGCUUAACCGACUGCGCCACCCAGGCGCCCCAAAAAAAUUGUUUAUUUUUGAGAGACAGAGCGAGUGAGCAUGUGAGCACACGAGUUGGGAGGGGCAAAGAGAGAGAGGGACAGAAUCUGAACAGAUUCCACACUGUUAGCGCCGAGCCCGAUAUGGGGCCCGAACUCAAGAAUUGGGAGAUCGUGACCCGAGCUGAAGUUGGAGGCUUAACCGACUGAGCCACCCAGGUGCCCUGAAUUUUUUUCUUGUCUUUUUUUUUUUUUUUACAUUUAUUUAUUUUUGAGAGACAGAGCACAAGUCGGGGAGGGGUGGAGAGAGAAGGAGACACAGAAUCUGAAGAAGGCUCCAGGCUCUGAACUGUCAGUAUAGAGCCCGACACGGGGCUCAAACUCACGAACCGUGAGAUCAUGACCUGGGCCAAAGUCGGACGCCCAGCCAACUGAGCCACCCAGGUGGUCCGAAUUUUUUUCUCUUCUAAUGUUAGAGAGUAUGGCUGUAUUUUGAACCAAAAAGCUCUAACACAGUGUGUGUGUGGGGGGGGGGGCAGGAGGAAUCCUGAAAGUGAAUUCUACAAGCUGAGUUACUGUUUACUUAUGGAACACAUGAGAAGUAAAUGCUCUGCAAGUUGGGCCUGUAGAGACACGAGCCUCCUGUCUCCCCUUUACUCCUUUUGUCAGUCUCCACAAGUGGAAAUAGAUAUUGUCUCUUCCCGGGAACAGGCGGGGAAAGUGGCAAACAGUGUAUGGAUCAUAAUGUUGGAAAUUCAGCAAGCUAGAUCCCCAGAGGAAUAAAGAUGGAAAGGAGCCUCAGGAGCAUGGACCUCCCGGAGAGGUUCUGUCCCACCAUUAGUAACGUGUCAGAGCUGUUUGAAGGGCAAGUCCAGAGAACAGCCAACAGAAAGGCUGUAUCACUGUAGACUCUAAUUUGCAGGGGGCUGGGGGGUUGUUUGGAUGAAUGCAAGACGUAUCUCAGCAUGAGAGUCGAUUCAGUAUAAGGAAGCAUCUUUAGUGCUCUGUCUUAAUUCCUGGCAGUGAUUUGUGUCAGAGUAAAGUUCGUUACUGUAAGUUGAGAGUGGGUAAGGAUCUCCUAGACAAACAGUUGAGGAUUCAAAUGAUGAAUGUUUGCAUUAAUUGAAUGAGAGGUUUUUGAGUUUACAAAUUUGAAUGAACACAUGUAGAAUAUAACAAGUAAAUGAUAAGGACGGAUCUAAAUGAAAACCCUCACCCCCAACCCAGGAAGUAAGUAUGUUUUAUCAGUUUGGUUUGUCCUUUGCAAAGCAUCCUCUGUUCUUCAGUAGUCUUUAACUUUGAUGCAUUUUUAGAUUGUGGUGUGUAUUGGAUUUUGAGUGUAGGUGGUUUUAUGGCUAUUUCAAAAGGAUUGGAUUAAAUUGCAUGGCAAUUAGGUGGUGUGAAAAUUAUGUUUUGUUCGACAAAGAGUUAAUACCCAGGCUGUGCUCAGUGGUAAGGGCAGAAGGGAGGUCAGGCUUGGGUGACUGAGGGAAGGUCCAGGAUGGGAGGAGAGGUUUGGAAAAACGGAAAUUGAAAUGGAAGCAUAACUGAGGGGACCGGGUUUGAAUCCUGGCUCAGACUUUUAGUGACUUCAGUGUUCUAGUAAAAUUAGCAGCCUUUCCUAGGGUCUCGAUUUAUAAAAGGGGCUUACUUCUAUAUCAUAGGGUUCCUGUAAAAGCUAAAUAAAAUCCCUCAUUAAGCAUCUAGCCCGGGGCUUGGUGUGGAGAUGCUUCUCCCUGAGCUCUGUUUCUCCGAGGAAGGAAUUUCCACUUGGAAGUUAAUUUGUAAAAAUUGUUUUGUAUAUACACAAUCAGAUAUCCUUGCCUUGCCUUGUAUAAAAGGUGUACCUUUUGUUAUGCCUUGUUAAAGGGUAUACCUUGCUUUGUUAAAAGGGACUCCUAUAGAUUGGAUGAGGAAAAAUUAUUGAUUAUAUGAAAAUAUUUCUCUCUGGGAUCAAGUCAGCCGAAUAUUUUUUGGUCAUUAUAAAGAUUUGGAAAUUGGUUGGUUGCAUAUCAUUUAUUGAGCUGGAGCUGGAGUGGGCGUUUGACCUGCCUUUGCACUCGCUUUGUGUGAAAGAAGGGAUUCUAGUUCGUUUCCCGCUACCCUAGCCUAACAGUGCUGCAGCGCCUUUGUGGUCUAGUUUUGGCGGUUAACGUGAAGCCAGAGCUGUCACAUGUUACCAUUUGGGUUCUGUGUGUCAGCCACUGAAAUUGAUUCUGAUUGGAAGCCCAGGUUUGGCCAGCUAAGGUAGAAAUUGUAUCAAAACAUGUUUUCAUACCGGUUUCUAUUUAUAAGGUUAGACUCUCAAUAAAAACGAGAAAGCUGCAGAUUUAAACUGUGUGUGAUGACGGUGGUGAUGGCAGGAGGAAGGAGGAGCAUCGGUAGGGCCUCUGAGGCCUUCAGUCCAACGUGGGGUUUCACGCUGGAGACGAAUUUGCUCUCCCACCCUGUCCCUUCUUUACUUUGAGAUCACACGAAGUCAGUGGAGGAAAGGCGGAAAAUUCAGAUAAACAGAAGAAAGAAAACAAAAACUAUGGAUGAUCCCACUUCUCGGAGAAAACCGUUGCUGACAGUUUCAUGUAUUUAGUGUCAGCUUAUUUUUCUCCUCAGGCAAUUCACAUGUUGAAACAAAAAUGGUGCCAUCUUAAGCCAUACUUUCUAUAACCAGCUUUAUUCAGUCAUCACUAGUUUUGUGUCCGCCCUUUGCACCAGUAAAAAUACUUCCCCAGCUCGUGGUUAUCUUGGUUUUCUUCCAAUUGUACAAAUCCUGUGUGUUCAUUGGAAAAAUUCUUAAGGGAUAUAGAAUUAUCUAGCAAAAUAAAAGAUUCCACAUAAACUAACAGUUUGUACAAAAGUGCUUUUUAGGUCUGCUUAGUAUUCUGCUCUGUGCAUGGAUUAUCAUACUGAGCUAAUCCGUAGUGGUUUUCACUUAGCAACUGAUUGGAAACAGUCUGUAAUAAACCACACUGUUAGGAACAUUUUUGUACAUACGUCUUGGUACAAUUGCCAAUUAUCUCAUGAGAAUAAAUUCCUGCAAGUGUGUAUGCUCACUAAAGUGUGUGUACAUUUUAAAGCUUUUUUUUUUGUCAUGGACUGUUAAUAAAUUCCAUCCAAAAAAUGAUACCAGUUUAUUCUCUGAUCAGCAUUGUUUGGGAGAAUGUCUACUCUCUGGUCCUGUGUUUUUUUCCUUUUUCUCUUAAAAAUUUCUUUUUACCAGUCUGCUAGGUAGAAAUGAUCUAAUUUGAACUUAUUUUAUGAUUAUUAGGUAAACUUACUUUAUUUCCAUGAGAUUUUGGUCCUGUGUAUUCCUUUGUGAAUUAUUUUUGCACGUUAAAAAAAUUGAAGUGUUCCUCUUUUUCUGUGAAAUACGUAUUUCAGUUUAAGUAUGACUUAGCAGAUGCUGCCAUCGAUUUUGAAACAAAAUGAACCCUACGUAAAUAAAUAAUUUACUCGAGUGGGCUGCCUUGCUCUUUGCAGAGGUCAGUGUUGACCAGGGUGUCGGGAAAUUCUGGCAUGGCUCAUGCUGAUAUCCUCAGGUUGGUGGGUGGGCUUCGUGUCUCUCCCCAGCUGCCCUCUUUGACUGUGUGGGGUUUUCCAGCACCAUCUGUCUCCCGUUGGUUUCCUGGAGCGGUGUCAGGACGUCGGAUGGGGUGUGAGUAGGACCAUGCCAUCCUCUGUGAUAAACCGAAGCAACGCUUUUGAUCCCUAAAUGAGUCCAAAGUCACUACCUACUGUGGACUGACUGUUAAAGUAGCGACGGCUCCCAUUUUCCUUAAUUCACCAUGCUGACAAAUGUGACAGACGUCUCUUAAACAUUUUAAAGUAAAGCCACUUCUGUUAUUUUGGCAUUUAAAAUUUAACUUUAAAAUUUGCAUUGUGAGGCUCUUGGUCACACACCGUUUGGGGCUUCCCUUUCUCUUUGUUUAGAGGGAGAGGAGUGGAUGGCCCGCGCAGGUGGCCCAGUCGGUUAAGCGUCUGACUUGAUUUCGGCUCAGGUCACGAUCUCAUGGCUCGUGAGUUCGGGUCCCACGUCGGGCUCCGUACUGACAGUGUAGAGGCUGCUUGGGAAUCUCUGUCUUCCCCCCAACUCUCAAAAAGAAAUAAGUAUUAAAAAAAAGGGGGGGGGAGUGUGUGUACACGCAUACUUGUAUGCGCUGAGGGUGAAUGAGAGUGAGUUUGAAGAGGGGUCUGCAGCAACAGGGAGAGCUUUUCUUUGGAGUGGUGCAGAGAGGGGUUUCAGUAAACAGACAGUUUUUGAAGAAACUCACAGGGGAUGGCCCUGAAUACCUUAUGUGUAACAGCAUCCUUACAUCCGUUCCAUAGUUAUUUAUUGAGGGCCUGCUCGGUGCCAGGUACCAGUCAAGAUACUGGAAGCACUGCAGUGAGUGAAAAAAGGCUAACAUGUCUUCUCUUCAUGGAGCCCAUACUCUGGUGUGACGAUGCAGUCACCAGAUAAAAAAAGUAAGUCCCUGAGUAGAUCUCAUACUUUACAAGAGCAUAAGUGCUAUGGAGAAAACCAAAUUGGGGGGGUGACUGGGGGCUGAUGGGAAGAGAGGGAUUCGUAGUUUUUAACCAGGAUGGUCAAGGAAGGUGCUGAUAAGUAUGGUAGAGGUCAGGCAGAUUUUCUUUUCUUUUUUUUAAUUGGGUGACUUUGGGAAAGUUCAAUUGAAUUUUGAUCCUCACCUUCCACAUGUUAAAAAAGGAGAUGAUAACGAACCUACCCUGUUCAAUGAGAUAAGAUGCAAAGCAUAUAGCACUGUGCCUGACAUCCAGUUCCCAAUAGGAAGGAAAUAUGGUUAGUACCCAGUAAGGUUGGGCGCUGCCCCCUGCCAGACACAGGCUUGGAGAUGCAGGUAUGGUCAGAAGAGCUGAGAGUGGAGAGUGGGAGUUUUGUUCCAGAAGGAAAGUUGCAGUAAAGAAGAGUAUGCAAUGUGGGUGGGAGAGGAGAGAAGAAAUGAGUGGCGGGAGUCUUCGCUUCAUAUAUGUAGGGAAGGAGUGGAAGCAUCGAGAGUCUUUCCUUUCUUUCCUAAAGAGAAGUAAAAGACUCAUUUCUUUUGCUUUAUUUUUGACAGGUCUAUCACCAGUUGGUCCUGCAGCUCUAGUUCAGUGCCUAAUCAAGUGUUUUUACGGUCUAGUUUGGGGGAAGUAAAAAAAAAAAAAAAAAAUCCAUAUAUGUGUGUGUGUGUGUGUGUGUGUGUGUGUACAAAGAUAAAAGUUAAAAAUAGUUGCUAAAUAGAUUUUCUUUAAAAUGACGGAAUGAGAAGUGCUGGACGCGUGGUAGAGGCCAGUGGGGCGGGGACAUUGACCAAGAGUGGAUGAUCAGGGAAAGUUUCUUGCAGGAGUAAGUUUGAUCUGAGUCCUGAAAAGAGGCUUGGGUUUCCAGUCUUGGAAGGACACUGAUAUUUCCCGAAGUAUGUUCCAUGAUACCUUAGUCCUGACAGAUGCUUAGAUAAGGUUUGGAGAGUCAGCUGGGUCUGCCAGGGCUUCGUACGCCGUCACUCACGUGGACCUUCGUACUGCACGUUCACUCACUGAAGUUCUUUUUCAGCCUUGCAGUAAAGGGACCCGCCAAACCGUGUGGUCUGGCAGGACCAGGCCCCUGCACUUGACUUGCAGAACAACCCAGAACACUCAGAGGAUUUGGGUGCGGUGGGGCAUUGCUGGACGCUCACUCUUCUUCUCAAGUUCAUGUAGGGACUAGGACUGUCACUCGUCUUUGUGUACAUACAGUAUUUGCAGAGCAUUUAGAGAUCAUUAAACACAAUUACUACAGUUGUUUAGGUUUAGGAGAGAAAAAUGACUCAAGUCCAGAUAGAAAAAUGAGUAAUGAGGAUUAUCAGUUUUGGAUCUCUGUUUUUAUCUUUUCUUUUUCUUUUCUUUGCUGCUAAUUUAGUUUCUGUGAAGCGUUUUGUAGAGUACUUGGAUAUGACGAAAAAGAAUUGUCUUAAAAGUUGAAACUGGAAACAUUUUAAAGACAUUUCUAUUUUAACAAAGGUGUUUACCUCCCCCUCCCCCCCAGGUGUAUUACCCAAAUUUGGGAUGGAUGUGCAUUGAUGCCACCGAUCCAGAGAAGGGAAACUGGCUGCGGUAUGUGAAUUGGGCUUGCUCAGGAGAAGAGCAGAAUUUGUUUCCGCUGGAAAUCAACAGGGCCAUUUACUAUAAAACUUUAAAGGUAAGAGUGUUAAAGCUGGUCUGCUCUAGUCACUCUGCGUGCAGUCUUGCAAAAACUGUCCUCACUUGGGACUGACAAGAAUGACUUUGCCGACCUUGAAAGGAUUAUAUUUGAAAGUGGUUCAUCAACACAUGGGAAGGUCUUUGUUUUAAAUCUACAGUUGCCACCGCUUUGUGUGCGCUAAAGCACGAAGAUCGCGUUAAGUAAUUACACCCUGCCCCCUCGCAGAGACCAAUGAGUGAGGUGUGUGGCAACUAUUUCCCUCCUCCUACGAAACGGAGGCGUCACGAACGGUCUGACUGGCAGAUGUGUCGACUGUAAGCAGCUGUCGCCAGCUGCGGUGGUUCUGUGCUGACCAAAAACAUGCACUUGGUCUUCGGUAUAAGGCAGCCUUGGAUUAUUAGCUUUUCUCUUCUGUAGAUGUGAUUCAGAAUGGAAAUUAAACAGAGCGGGUUUCUUCUUCCUGCCAAGUUUUUAUUUAGAGACGUUAAUUGUUGAGAUGAAAAGAAGAGGCAAAUCAUUUUUUAGAGUUUGUGGUGAGGUCACAGGUCACCGAGUGCAUUCAGGGUACUGAGUACAUUGGGAAGCACUGAGUAUCGUCGUAGUUCUGCAACAGGCGAGUCUGGGUCUUUGUCCCUGCUCUCAGGUUCUCUGGGAAGGCGAAUCUGUAUCGAUCGUGCACGGAAAUGUUCUCUAAAGAGUCUUACGGCUCUAAAGAUAGAUGAUGAUUGCUUUUUGGAAUACAUAUGUUUACUAAAAUUGCUGUAAUUCACAUUUCUGUUUAUUCACUUCCAUUUAAAAAUGUCAUAGGCUGGGGGACAUUCCGUGAAAACAGAUUAUCUCCACGGAGUUGAAAUC